UGGGAUAGCUCAGCAGGUAGAGCAUGGUACUCGUAAUCCCAGAGUUGUGGGUUCGAGCCCCACAUGGGGCAAAA